rnacentral:ribozyme from 1 species
GGCCGGUAAAGUCCAACCCCCACCUCCACGUGGUACCGGCUGGGUGCUCAGGUCCGAGCCCUUUUAGGGUUAN